AUUGAACGCUGGCGGCAGGCCUAACACAUGCAAGUCGAGCGGAUGAAGGGAGCUUGCUCCUGGAUUCAGCGGCGGACGGGUGAGUAAUGCCUAGGAAUCUGCCUGGUAGUGGGGGAUAACGUCCGGAAACGGGCGCUAAUACCGCAUACGUCCUGAGGCAGAAAGUGGGGGAUCUUCGGACCUCACGCUAUCAGAUGAGCCUAGGUCGGAUUAGAUAGUUGGUGGGGUAAAGGCCUACCAAGGCGAGGAUCCGUAACUGGUCUGAGAGGAUGAGCAGUCACCCUAGAACUGAGACACCGACAAGAGUACUGAGGGAGGGCGCAGUCGGGAAUAUUGGGCAGCGGGCGAAAGCAUGAUACAGCCAUGCCAAGUGUGUGAAGAAGGUCUUCGGAUUGUAAAGCACUUUAAGUUGGGGGGAAGGGCAGUAAGUUAAUACCUUGCUGUUUUGACGUUACCAACAGAAUAAGCACCGGCUAACUUCGUG
rnacentral:rRNA from 1 species